CUAUUCUUCCCCUGUUGUCUGCAGUCCCUGUGAACUGUCUGUGGACAUACCAUCCAUAGCAUCUCCCAAGCAGGUGCUUGGUGAUACAAAGAUGCGAUUGUGCCUGUUUUAAAGUCUGGGCCCAUGUGGAGGACAGAUUCAAGGGGAACAGAGGAAGAACAUGAGAUGCAGCCCAACGAGAAAUCUGCCAUGUGGUGUGGGAUCUCCUGUUUUUUCUGCAGUACACACAUGUAUUACAGUAUUACUGCGACCUGAGGAGGUCUUCAGCUGGUGUUAUUGUUCCAGGUGUUUCUGAGCAAAGAAGAAAACAAUUACAUGCAGGGUUCCUUGCUUUAAGCCCUGCUACCCCUGUUCCAGAGUCUGCAAGAAAGCCAGAAGCUGUGCAUCUUCUCUGGAGAGGGCAACAGUCACCAGGUUUAAAGACAGAGACAGGCCUUUUGUGGGACUUUCAAGGACCUGGUAUGAGUUGCAGAACUCUGCAUUGACUCUGAAGCUUCUAUAAAACCCACUGCCAGCAUUUUGUACAAGUUUUUUUUUUUUUGAUUCAGAGGAGGCUUGCAUGUGGUGUAACACGAUGGGUAAACCCAGGCACUUCAUGGAUGUGAUACCUGUGUGAGGAGGGUGUUUUGAGCCUCCUUUGAGUGAAGAAUACUGUAGUGCUGCCCUAGUGCCAGGCUGACCAUGCCAUCUAGCAGAACAUGCUGCAAGGGAGCCCAUCUCCUCAACUUUGCCAGAACCUUUGUGCUCCCUGCUGGGAUAGGUGUCACAGAGGGCUAUGCCAGCUAUAUGCAUGGUGGGGGACUUAGGUUCCACAUAGUAACGUGAAAAAAAGGAGAAGCUUUUAGGUAUGAAUGAAGAAGAUUCAUUAAUUUGUUUUGUAAUGUAUCAACUGAGCUCAAACGAGGGGCUUUUUUUCUUGUAGUGUAUAAAAAUAGCAAAAUAUGGUUUCAUUUCUAAAUGAGGUAUCAUUUGUGCAAUGGAAUUUUACAUUGUCAAGUACUUGUAGGAUUAAAAAUCCUUUUUCUUUCCACAUUGAGAGAUUUUGCUGUUUGAAACCAAAUCACAGACUGCUGUAGUAGUUCCAUUUUUAAUUUAUGUUUGUAUUUAUUGAUAUAUUUACUGUUCA
rnacentral:lncRNA from 1 species